rnacentral:rRNA from 1 species
CACGUAGGUGGUUUGGUAAGUCGGAUGUGAAAGCCCGGGCUUAACCUGGGAAUUGCAUUCGAAACUGCCUUCAACUAGAGUCUAGCAGAGGGAUGCGGAAUUCCGGGUGUAGCGGUGAAAUGCGUAGAGAUCCGGAGGAACAUCAGUGGCGAAGGCGGCAUCCUGGGCUAAGACUGACACUGAGGUGCGAAAGCGUGGGGAGCAAACGA